GUCCGGCUGGCGCAAUGGUAGCGCAACAGGUUUCUACCCUGUAGGUUGCGGGUUCGAUCCCCGUGUCGGAUU
rnacentral:tRNA from 1 species